UUCCUACGGGGCGCAGCAGUGGGGAAUAUUGCACAAUGGGGGAAACCCUGAUGCAGCGACGCCGCGUGGGCGAGGAAGUACCUCGGUAUGUAAAGCCCUAUCAGCAGGGAAGAAACAGGACAGUACCUGACUAAGAAGCCCCGGCUAAAUACGUGCCAGCAGCCGCGGUAAUACGUAUGGUGCAAGCGUUAUCCGGAUUUACUGGGUGUAAAGGGAGCGCAGGCGGUGCGGCAAGUCUGAUGUGAAAGCCCGGGGCUCAACCCCGGGACUGCAUUGGAAACUACCGAACUAGAGUGUCGGAGAGG
rnacentral:rRNA from 1 species